rnacentral:tRNA from 1 species
GCAGAAAUAGCUCAGUCCGGCGAGCGUUAGACUGAAGAUCUAAAUGUCCCUGGUUCGAUUCCUGGUUUCGGCA